rnacentral:rRNA from 1 species
UACGGGGGGAGCAAGCGUUGUUCGGAUUUACUGGGCGUAAAGAGCUCGUAGGUGGUUCGGUAAGUCGGAUGUGAAAUCUCCAGGCUCAACCUGGAGGGGUCAUUCGAUACUGCCGUGACUAGAGUUCGGUAGGGGAGUGUGGAAUUCCUGGUGGAGCGGUGAAAUGCGCAGAUAUCAGGAGGAACACCCGUAGCGAAGGCGGCACUCUGGGCCGAUACUGACACUGAGGAGCGAAAGCGUGGGGAGCGAACAGG